GGAUUUGGGAAUUGUUCUGGGAAUUGGGAUUUGUGCUGGGAAUUGGGAUUCGGGAAUUGGGAUUUGUGCCGGGAUUUGGGAAUUGUGCUGGGAAUUGGGAAUUGUUUUGGAAUUUGGGAUUUGGGAUCUGGGAUUUGGGAUUUGGGAAUCGCGCCGGUUCCCAAUCCCGGGAGCGUCCCCGCAGCCUCCUGGAGCAGCUGCACAAGCACCAGGGCGCGGUGCUGCACCCGGAAUUCCGAACCCCGUUCCGCUCCGUGGGCGACGCCCUGCGCCGGCUGCUGCCGUACCACGUCUACCAGGGGGUGCUGCCCGGGGAGCCCGAGUGCCGCCGCGUGGACGAGGAGUUCGAGGCGGUGUCGGAGCAGCUCCUGCGCCGCACGCGGGCGAUGCUCAACAAGUACCGGCUGCUGCUGCUGGAGGAGUCGCGGGUGAGCCCCCCCGGAAUUCCCGGAAUUCCAUGGAAAAUCCCCGGGAUUCCCCAAAAAUUCCCUGGAAUUCCUCGGAAUUCCCUGAAAAUUCCCCAAAAUUCCCUGUAAUUCUCCCAAAAUUCCCCAAAAUUCCCUGUAAUUCUCCCAAAAUUCCCCCAAAAUUCCCCAAAAUUCCCUGUAACUCUCCCAAAAUUCCCCAAAAUUCCCUAAAAUUCCCCCAAAAUUCCCCAAAAUUCCCCGUAAUUCUCCCAAAAUUCCCCAAAUUCCCUGUAAUUCCCCCAAAAUUCCCCAAAAUUCCCUAAAAUUCCCCCAAAAUUCCCCAAAAUUCCCCGUAAUUCCCCCAAAAUUCCCCAAAAUUCCCUGUAAUUCCCCCAAAAUUCCCCAAAAUUCCCUAAAAUUCCCCCCAAAUUCCCCAAAAUUCCCUGUAAUUCUCCCAAAAUUCCCUGCAAUUCCCCCAAAAUUCCCAAAACUUCCCUAAAAUUCCCCCAAAAUUCCCCAAAAUUCCCUGUAAUUCCCCCAAAAUUCCCCAAAAUUUCCUGUAAUUCUCCCAAAAUUCCCCAGAAUUCCCAAAAAUUCCCUCAAAAUUCCCCAAAAAUUCCCUAAAAUUACCCCAAAAUUCCCCAAAAUUCCCUGUAAUUCUCCCAAAAUUCCCCAAAAUUCCCUGAAAUUCUCCCAAAAUUCCCCAAAAUUCCCUGGAAUUCUCCCAAAAUUCCCUGUAAUUCUCCCCAAAAUUCCCCCGAAUCCCCCAAAAUUCCCCCCAAAUUCCCCGAAUUCCCCCUGCCCCCGUUGCAGCGCUGCAGCCCCUCGGCCGAGAUGGUGAUGAUCGACCGCAUCUUCAUCCAGGAGGAGAAAACGGCGCUGGCGCUCGACCGGCAGCUGGCCCGGGAGCGGCCCGGUGAGGAGCCCGGGGGGAUGACAACAAUGGGAAUAACAACAAUGGGAAUAAUGGGAAUAACAAUGGGAAUAACAACGGGAAUAAAGGGAACGGCCCGGUGAGGAGCCCGGGGGGA
rnacentral:lncRNA from 1 species